CAUAUGCCACGGUGUGUAGACCCAUAUGCCAUGGUGUGUAGACCCAUAUGCCAUGGUGUGUAGACUCAUAUGCCAUGGUGUGU
rnacentral:miRNA from 1 species